GCCUUCGUGGUGUAACGGUAGCACACUCGGUGCGUAUUUGGGAAUGCAGGUUCAAGUCCCGACGAGGGCA
rnacentral:tRNA from 1 species